UACAGCCACAUCAUGUUGAAAUGCUGCUUCCUGUACGAUCACUGAAGUUAAGUAACUUCGAGCCUGGUCAGUACCUAGAUGGGUGACCACUUGGGAAUACCAGCU